AUGGAUUCCAUGACCCCAAACCCACUUUCCUGCUCAGAGGGCACCUUAGCAGAGGAAGUAGAGGAGGCAGAAGUUGGGGUGCAAUAGAAGCCGAUGCAGACAUCCUGGGAUGGAGCUUCCAGGAAUGCGUCUCAAAGCUGGUAGUACCUCUGGGAUACGUGUGGACCCCCGCCCUUCCUGUUCACCCAUAGAACCGUGGACCAGUUGCCUGUGUGGAUCAGAGGUCUUUCUAACCUGUGGGACGAUUACAACGUGUUGAGGCCUCAGGGUGGGGAGCAUGUGGCUCUCCCAAGGCAAACUCCUUCCACUUGCUACCCGGAGACAUUAAGUCAGAACACCCCCCCCCCCCCACACACACACACACCAUCAUCUACUUCUGCUGUAGCCAAAUGCAGAUACUUAUGGAAAGAAUAACAGAAGAAAUUACCCAAAUAUUUUGAAGAAGAUGAGAACUCGGAUACUCCCUGGGUAAUAGUCUAAAAACAAACCAAAAAUAACAGCAAAACCAAGAUCUUCCACUCUGGGUUGUCUAUCGUCAACAUUGUCCUGCCUGACUCAGUGGACCUGUGGUCUGCAGCUCAUCCCUGAAGUUCAAAGGUCAGGCCUUCCCUGAUGUAGACAGCAAAGGCAGGGGGAAGUACAGUCAUGGCAAGCCAUGAAGAAUCCCAGGGGUCUUGUCUUGUAGCAGCGGUGAGCCCUGCAUUCCAGUUUCUUGCCUUGUGGAGAAGGAUUCUUGGAUCUGAAGAAUAGCAAGUGAGAUGCUGGCUAUGCAGACCCAGGCACCGGGCUAUGCAGACCCAGGCACCGGACCAUGCGUACAGUAAGCACUUCAACGAGUUCCUCCCUUUGCCCUCUGUAACAAUGUGCUCUUCGAUUUAUCAGCAAGGAGAUAUGUUCUGCCACCCACAGGAGAGCCUGAAACUGGAUAUUGUAUCCAACCCUAGGUGUACUAUUGGUAAGGUGUACUUACCAAUGGUAAAUUAAGCAAAAUAUGAAUAACAACAAUAAAGUAAGACAAUUACAGCACAA